CCGAGGUUACAACUCCCAAACCCCUGUGAACAUACCACUUGUUGCCUCGGCGGAUCAGCCCGCUCCCGGUAAAACGGGACGGCCCGCCAGAGGACCCCUAAACUCUGUUUCUAUAUGUAACUUCUGAGUAAAACCAUAAAUAAAUCA
rnacentral:misc_RNA from 1 species